UUUCAAGCACACAAACAAAUUCAUUAAAUAAUAUAUUCAUUGAUUUAUAUUGGAAAUAUCAUUCGAAUUAAAAUAUCCUACUAUAACAUCAUUUAAAUUAGGCACUUAAGUCUAGGAUACUAUUGUGUAAAUGGGAUAAUAACGUUGGUAUAUUUGUUUGCACAUUUUCUUAGUAUAUUCCAGUUCUGGUUAUAUUGUACGCAUUUUCAUAGCUUUACUCAUAAGCUAACUGUAUACACUAUGUACAAGUAUGGGUUAUGGUUAGUAAUACUAUUUGCAGCAAUGUUUGUCCUUGCGAUGCUGUUCCCGAUGCCGUUUUUCAACGGGAAGCAAGUGUACUAGCAUUAUCAAGUUUAGCAUCGCGGCAAAUAAAGCUGCGAAUUACAUAAUGUGUAAAGAAACGCAACGUAAGAUGCAUGCAGACUAUUAAGGGCUAAACUAGCAUACAUUUGCCUUGCAUAAAUUGUAACUUAUCAUCUAAUUUCAUAUGCAUUAGAAACUAUUAAAGAUAUUACCUUCAAUUUGCGUCCAAGAAUUUGAUACUUCUGAAGUUAGAGCGGGCAGCCUUGAGGAUGGACCAUACAUAACUUGACUACUGUUCUCUGGAUCUUAAUUAUAGCCAUAUUAUUAUUUUAGGAAGAGUUUCUAAGAACAUAAUAUGUAAUAAUACAUAAGACGUUUACAAGCGAGCAUAAGUAGAUAAAGUAAAAAUAUGAUAUGCGAGUAACAGCACACAAUAAGAAAAACGUUUCGUCGAGAUAUGAAAAUUAUUAAUGUAUGAAUUAAA